rnacentral:sRNA from 1 species
UGUUUUCAUUGGGCCAUUAAAUUGUGAGUGUUCAGAGGAAGCAAGAUCUGCAUAAUCCCUCGCUGUAUAUAUUUCUAUUAUGCAAGAAAAUAGUCCAGGCUAUAAGCAAAUAGCUAGGCUUAUUAUGUGGGGCUAUUCCUUUCAUAGAAAAAGAACCAUGUGAAGAUUCAAAUUUGUACGCGUGAAACCUAAACCCUACUUCUGCUGGAAUUACCAUGUCUGUCAUCCAAACUUCAUUAUUAUACAAAGAAGGUAGAAGGUGAGAGACUAUGGUGGUGGCCAAUUCUUGUGUCGCAUAUAGUCAAUAACACUAGUGCAGUGCCAUUUCUUGUGACAGAACAAAUAAAAGGAAAUGGGUGGUGAGUUGGAGAGUUGGUGGCAGGGAAACACGGCACGGAUGCUGUUGAGUUGGCAUGCAAAUUGUCACAUCCCAGUCCCUGCUCUGCCGUAGCAUGAUAUUGUCCGCUUUGAGCCUCGGCCAUGCUCCCCGCCUGAACUCGCUUAACUUCGGAGUUCUAAUGGAAUCCGAAGCCAAUGAGUCCCCAAAAGGGCUCGUGCUAUAAGAUGUGGGCAUGUACAUAUAAGGUACAUCACCCUCUCUCCGUUGAUCGAUGUAGGAUGUUAUACAAAUUGUAAGAAAAGAGAUUCUUCUUGUCUCCUACUAUCCCCAUGAUAUUCAAAUAGUAAGUCAUCAUCAUCUUGUAUAUAUUAAGAAAAUGCUGCGGAAGGAUGGUAAAUCCCUAGACUUGUACAUUCAGCUGCAAAACUUCUCUCUUCUCCGACAGAAAAAAAUGGCUGCGACCAAUUGCCAUGCGUGCUCCAAGAACUUCCCCUCAUCAAAACAUCCUCUUUAUCUCCAAUUUGAUGAGCAGCUGUGCAGAUUGAGGUUUUCCGAAGCCAGCUCUUCAUCCUCAAUUUUUACACAAAAACUUGCUCGCGUUAAUGGAUUUGUAUAUAUGAUUGUGUAGAUGAGCUGCUUUGGUUUCCACUCACUCGAUAAGCCCUAGCACAUUGGCAAAAUGAAGAGUAUUGUAUCAAUGGGUGGAUCUCUUAGGUUUUUGGAUAAAUGUAGCAUUGCCAAAAAAUGAGCCCGCAAGUGAGGUUAAGAAAUUCUUGACAACGAGGAAGGUAAUGAAAAAGGUCAUUUGGAA